AACGAACGCUGGCGGCAUGCCUAACACAUGCAAGUCGAACGAGACCUUCGGGUCUAGUGGCGCACGGGUGCGUAACGCGUGGGAACCUGCCCUUAGGUUCGGAAUAACUCCCCGAAAGGGGUGCUAAUACCGGAUAAUGUCUUCAGACCAAAGAUUUAUCGCCUUUGGAUGGGCCCGCGUUGGAUUAGCUAGUUGGUAGGGUAAAAGCCUACCAAGGCGACGAUCCAUAGCUGGUCUGAGAGGAUGAUCAGCCACACUGGGACUGAGACACGGCCCAGACUCCUACGGGAAGCAGCAGUGGGGAAUAUUGGACAAUGGGCGAAAGCCUGAUCCAGCAAUGCCGCGUGAGUGAUGAAGGCCUUAGGGUUGUAAAGCUCUUUUACCCGGGAUGAUAAUGACAGUACCGGGAGAAUAAGCUCCGGCUAACUCCGUG
rnacentral:rRNA from 1 species